ACUCCGCCUGGAGACUUCGGGGAGGCCGAGCUCUCCGCUCGACUCCCGUGUCCGCGCCGUGCUGGGCUGCAGUCACGAGCCCGUCCCUGGAGCCCAUGGCCGCACGGCCCCCGACGGCUUCGUGCUGGGGAUUAUUGUCAUUCAAGGAUGUAUCUGUGGAGUUAUCCUGGGAAGAAUGGCAGCUGCUGGACUCUGCACAACGGCACCUGUACAGAGAAGUGACGCUGGAAAACUAUAGCAACUUGUUGUCAGUGGGUUAUCAUGGUACCAAACCUGAUUUAAUCUUCAAGUUGGAGCAAGGAGAAGAACCAUGGAUAAUAAAUGCCAAAAUGUCCACUCAGUGCUGUCCAGGCUGGAAAGAAUGGUACCAGAAAAAUCAAGAUGAGAUUGAAAACAUUCAGAGAAGCUAUGCUUGUAAUGCCUUUGGAAAACUUUAUAUGAGCCAAACCCAUGUUUCUUCAAGGCAGAGACUCCAUAAGUAUGACACACAUAUGAAAAAUGUGGUACAAAACUGUGGUUCAAGAAGAAAAUCUGAAGGAAAGAAUCUUGGUCAAUUUCAUAGUUAUGAAGAAUCAUAUUUUCUUAAGCAUCAGAGAGGUCAUAGCAUAGAGAAAAACUGUGUUUGUAAUGAAUGUGGGAAAGCUUUUCGUUGUAAAUCACAGCUCAUUGUACAUCUGAGAAUUCAUACAGGGGAGAAGCCAUAUGAAUGUACAAAAUGUGAAAGAGCCUUCAGUGCCAAGUCAAACCUUAAUGCUCAUCAGAGAGUUCACACAGGAGAAAAGCCCUACUCAUGUACUGAAUGUGGGAAAGUUUUCUCUUUUAGGUCACAGCUCAUUGUCCACCAGGAAGUCCACACAGGAGGGAAGCCCUAUGGUUGCAGUGAAUGUGGGAAAGCCUACAGUUGGAAGUCUCAGCUUAUUUUACACCAGAGAAGUCACACGGGAGUAAAACCUUAUGAAUGCAAUGAAUGUGGAAAAGCAUUUAGUUUGAAGUCCCCAUUCAUUGUCCACCAGAGAACUCAUACAGGAGUGAAACCCCAUAAAUGCAAUGAAUGCGGGAAGGCCUUUAGGAGUAAAUCCUACCUCCUUGUUCACAUCAGAGUGCACACAGGGGAGAAACCUUAUCAAUGCAACGAUUGUGGGAAAUCCUUCAGCAUGAAGACACAACUCAUCGUGCACCAGGGAGUUCACACUGGAAACAACCCUUAUCAGUGCAGUGAUUGUGGCAAAGCCUUUGGCCGGAAAGAGCAGCUUACUGCUCACUUGCGAGCCCAUGCAGGGGAGAAGCCCUAUGGCUGCAGUGAGUGUGGCAAGGCUUUCAGUAGCAAGUCAUACCUUGUUAUACAUAGGAGAACACACACAGGAGAGAGACCCUAUGAAUGUAGCUUAUGUGAGAGAGCAUUUUGUGGAAAAUCACAGUUAAUUAUACACCAGAGAACUCAUUCAACAGAGAAGCCAUAUGAGUGCAAUGAGUGUGAAAAGGCCUAUCCCAGGAAGGCGUCGCUCCAGAUACACCAGAAAACUCAUUCUGGAGAGAAACCUUUUAAGUGUAGUGAAUGUGGGAAAGCCUUUACUCAGAAGUCCUCCCUCAGUGAACAUCAGAGAGUUCAUACAGGAGAGAAACCCUGGAAAUGCUCUGAAUGUGGGAAAUCUUUCUGUUGGAAUUCAGGGCUUCGUAUACAUCGGAAAACACACAAGGCAGACAUCCAAGUGACGAAGUGAAUGUUAGAUUCUUUUUCACAGGAGCUGGUGUUACGUAGCCCUCAGAUGAUAAUUCAGACAGACUUAAGCAGGAGAUAGAAAAGUACCUUCACAUCAAGAAAAUUACAUGGGAGAAGUCCUAUUUGAAACGAGACUGCAAAAUUUGUCAGAAAUUAGUCACAUAAAUCUUUGCUCAGAAGAAAGUUGAAGGAAUGAGAACGGUGAACAUACCAAGUGUGGUUGUCGUGUUGUGAAGAUUUGUACCAUUUGUACUGAGACCACAUUGGUGCUGCACUCAGAAUGCAAGCUGCUCUAUUCAGAGGCCAUUGAAUACUAGGUCUGACCUCAUAGAUUGGAUUAUGCUACUGUGAUCUGGUGGACCAAAAUGGAGUUAUGACCCAAGCAACUCAAGGUUAGGCUGUGGAUUCUUGAAUCUCAUCCAGUCGUUGUUUCCCAGAGCCUCAUCCUGCUGUGCAAAUGUCGUUUGCAGUUUGUGCCUCAAAUGUGUGACCAUGUCACAUGCCUAUUAAAGUUUAUAAAUGCGU